rnacentral:rRNA from 1 species
GUGUCAGCCGCCGCGGUAAUACGUAGGGUGCAAGCGUUAAUCGGAAUUACUGGGCGUAAAGCGUGCGCAGGCGGCUUUGCAAGACAGAUGUGAAAUCCCCGGGCUCAACCUGGGAACUGCAUUUGUGACUGCAUGACUAGAGUACGGUAGAGGGGGAUGGAAUUCCGCGUGUAGCAGUGAAAUGCGUAGAUAUGCGGAGGAACACCGAUGGCGAAGGCAAUCCCCUGGACCUGUACUGACGCUCAUGCACGAAAGCGUGGGGAGCAAACAGGAUUAGAAACCCCCGUAGUCC